rnacentral:rRNA from 1 species
UGGGGAAUCUUCCGCAAUGGGGCGAAAGCCUGACGGAGCAACGCCGCGUGAGUGAAGAAGGUUUUCGGAUCGUAAAGCUCUGUUGUCAGGGACGAGAGAGUCUGUCAGGAAAUGGGCAGGCUAGGACGGUACCUGGCGAGAAAGCCACGGCUAACUACGUGCCAGCAGCCGCGGUAAUACGUAGGUGGCGAGCGUUGUCCGGAAUUAUUGGGCGUAAAGGGAGCGCAGGUGGGAAAGUAAGUCAGUCUUAAAAGUGCGGGGCUCAACCCCGUGAGGGGAUUGAAACUACUUUCUUGAGUGCAGGAGAGGAAAGCGGAAUUCCUAGUGUAGCGGUGAAAUGCGUAGAUAUGACGCAGAACUCCGAUUGCGAAGGCAGCUUUCCAGCGCGCUACUGACGCUGAGGCACGAAAGCGUGGGGAUCGAACAGGAUUAGAUACCCUGGUAGU